ACCAACCUACUGAAACAUCUCAAAUCAGUUUCAAUCGUUUCAAGUGUCCGUGUUUCUUCCACAUACAGUUUCCACUCCAAGAUGCAGUGUGCCGUCCCCAGCUGUAUAGGAUGGGCCAAACGGGUGAUCUCCUUCCCACAGAACCUUUUGCUACAGAGUCGCUGGAAGCGAGCCAUUGAAGCCGGCACCGGACUUCGCAUCCCGACGUACCACUGCGGUGCUCUUUGCUCGUGGCACUUUGGCGACAAUCAGACGGAAACUCAUGGCUACUGGGAACCGUACCGCUUCCUGCAUAGGAGUGGGAGGACGGUAGAGGUAGGAAGUUGCCGAUUCUGCCUGCGAUUCGAUGAACGGAAGAAGAUGGUUUCCGACAAGGAAGUUUUGGAGAAUGAAGAGUUGGUUGAUUUGGUGAAUUAUGCAUUAAAAAUUAAUUUGGCUGAAGAUUAUAUUCUGAAGGACAUUUGCGAGGAAUGUGAAGCAAAGAUGCAAGUGGUCGAUAAGUGGAUGAAGAGCAGCAAGAAAAGUGAAAAGGAAUACAAAGCUUUGGAAAUUGCCACCAGGAAUAGCAUUUUCAAACCGGUAGAUGAAGCGCUAGUGCCGGAUAGAGCUACGGUAGAGGAAGCUACGGAACCUCUUGAAUAUAACACGAUCAGUUUCGAAAUUGAAUGCAUGAAGGAAGAAGUUGAAAUUGUGCAAGCAUCGAUAGAGCAGGAGCCAGAGCGCAUCACAGAUGAACGCAUUGUGACACUUAUCCAUGAUUACACGAUGGAGGAAGUGUCGAAAGCUUCUCCUAAGAAGGUAACGAAAGAGGAAAUUCAUCUGAGUAGAUCCUUUAAACCAAUCGUCAAACAGUUCAACUUUCCCGCAAAUACUCACAGUAAGCGUGGUCCACCUCGCCGAAAACCAAAAGUUACCCAGGAAAAAGUCAGCUACCGAGAGUACCUCAGCAAAAAGUGCCACGUCUGUGAUACACUUCUAGACACUCCUGAAGACCUGGUGGCUCAUUUAACGCAGCAGCACUGUAAUGGAGCGCCUUAUAAGUGUUCCGAGUGCGACAAAUCAUUCAAAAUCAUAACUUCCUACAAUUGGCACUUGGGAUUCCACGAUCAUUCUAACCGACCACUGAGAUGUUGCUACUGUACAAUGGGUUUCAAAUACAAUUACAGCCUGUUGAGUCACGAAAAUCGCCAACAUGGAGCAAGUCAUCAAAUUCAUGUAAAGAAGAAGCCUACCAAAAGGAGCUUCCCAUGUUUGAAGUGUGACAAAGCGUACAAAACGAACUAUGACCUUUUGGAUCACGAUCGUUACGUUCACCAGAAGCUUCCCGGCACAAUGUGCAAGCUGUGCGGUAAACACUUCCGUAAUCGAACCUCCCUUCGGAAACAUCAUUUGGUUCACACUAGCGAGCGGCCUUACAAUUGUUUGCACUGUGAUGCGGUGUACAGAAAUAUUACCAACCUUGCAAAACACGUAGCACGAAGCCAUGCACAGGACGCUUCAACUGAGGAGCUAACGAGGUGAAACGCGGCAAUGAUGCGGUAGAAUGUGAGGUGUGCUCUGUGAUUUAGUUAAGCACAUCGAGUCGGCACAUUUGGGCAUAACGUAGCCGAAUAAAGUUUCUUUCACCGGAUUGGUUGCACAUUUGCGUCAAUCUUUUCCAGCAGAGG